GCCAGCCCGCUCAAGAAACUUAAAGGAAGUUGACGGGGCCCGCACAAGCGGUGGAGUAUGUGGUUUAAUUCGAUGCAACGCGAAGAACCUUACCUGGUCUUGACAUCCCGGAGACCCUUAGGAAACUAGGGGGUGCUUCCAUCUGGAAGAAUCUGGAGACAGGUGCUGCAUGGCUGUCGUCAGCUCGUGUCGUGAGAUGUUGGGUUAAGUCCCGCAACGAGCGCAACCCUUGCCUUUAGUUGCCAGCAGUUCGGCUGGGCACUCUAAAGGGACUGCCGGUGUUAAACCGGAGGAAGGUGGGGAUGACGUCAAGUCCUCAUGGCCUUUAUGACCAGGGCUACACACGUACUACAAUGGCCGAUACAAAGGGCAGCGACACUGCGAGGUGAAGCCAAUCCCGUAAAAUCGGUCUCAGUCCGGAUUGGAGUCUGCAACUCGACUCCAUGAAGUUGGAAUCGCUAGUAAUCGCGCAUCAGCCAUGGCGCGGUGAAUACGUUCCCGGGCCUU
rnacentral:rRNA from 1 species